rnacentral:rRNA from 1 species
GGUUAAUUCCGUGCCAGGAGCAGGGGUAAUACGGAAGGUCGGGGCGUUAUCCGGAUUUAUUGGGUGUAAAGGGAGCGUAGGCCGGAGAUUAAGCGUGUUGUGAAAUGUAGAUGCUCAACAUCUGCACUGCAGCGCGAACUGGUUUCCUUGAGUACGCACAAAGUGGGCGGAAUUCGUGGUGUAGCGGUGAAAUGCUUAGAGAUCACGAAGAACUCCGAUUGCGAAGGCAGCUCACUGGAGCGCAACUGACGCUGAAGCUCGAAAGUGCGGGUAUCGAACAGGAUUAGAUACCCGGGAGUC